rnacentral:lncRNA from 1 species
UAUAUUUAAAAUUUAAUCAUUCUAGAGUUAACAUUUAUUUUUCAAAAUCAAUUUUGCAGUAUGUUUAGAGAGUCUGGAGUAUCUCAUGUGGUUACUGGCAUCAUCCGAUGCUUGUUGCCGGGGUCGAUGAACGAGUUCUCCAGCUAGCCAUCUGGAGCUCGUGAUGUAGCCUUGAAGAUGUUUCAGAUAAGUUUGAAAUAUUUAAUUUUUAAAUUUAUGGUAUAUUUAUAUUCUACUUAUUAAUACAUGCUUCGAUUUUAUCUGACAGGAGUACUAUCAUUUCGAGACUCUCCAGGAUAGGAGGCUGGCCGUCGGACCUUCAAUGAAGUAGCUACAUGGAGGCUUCGAGAUGGCCUCUACAGCCUCAGGCAGUCUACCAUCGAGCAUUUUGGUUCUCAGUCACCAUUGGACUAAAGGUUCUACAGGGAUCACUAAAUGCAGAUGGACAUAUGGGAGGCCCUCUAUAAUCAGUGGAGCAACGAGAAGUACUCCAGUAGGUGGCAGAGGGCCCAACAGAACUGACCACCCAGUAG